GGUAGUAAAAGUCGUAACAAGGUUCCCGUAGGUGAACCUGCGGAAGGAUCAUUCAUAAUAAAGUGUUUUAUGGCACUUUUUAAAAAUCCAUAUCCACCUUGUGUGCAAUGUUAGAUCUCGUCAAUCUUGGCGAGAUUUUUAUACAUCAACUCAUUCUUUAACUAAUUUGUCUGAAAAAUAUUAUGAAUACUUAAUUCAAAAUACAACUUUCAACAACGGAUCUCUUGGCUCUC
rnacentral:misc_RNA from 1 species